UACGUAGGGUGCAAGCGUUGUCCGGAAUCAUUGGGCGUAAAGCGCUCGCAGGUGGUUCGAUGCGUCGUGCGUGAAAGCCCCCGGCUCAACUGGGGAGUGUCGUGCGAUACGGUCGGACUGGAGGCCAGUAGGGGGAUGCGGAAUUCCGGGUGUAGUGGUGGAAUGCGUAGAGAUCCGGAGGAACACCAGCGGCGAAGGCGGCAUCCUGGACUGGUCCUGACACUCAUGAGCGAAAGCGUGGGGAGCGAGUCCGG
rnacentral:rRNA from 1 species